CCUACGGGAGGCAGCAGUGGGGGAUAUUGCACAAUGGGGGAAACCCUGAUGCAGCGACGCCGCGUGCGUGAAGAAGUAUUUCGGUAUGUAAAGCUCUAUCAGCCGGGAAGAACAUGACAGUACCUGACCAAGAAGCCCCGGCUAACUACGUGCCAGCAGCCGCGGUAAUACGGAGGGGGCAAGCGUUAUCCGGAUUUACUGGGUGUAAAGGGAGCGUAGACGGUUAGGCAAGACUGGCGUGAAAGCCCGGGGCUGAACCCGGGGACUGCUUUGGAAACUGGGUAGCUGGAGUACAGGAGGGGCAGGCGGAAUUCCUGGUGUAGCGGUGAAAUGCGUAGAGAUGAGGAGGAACACCGGCGGCGAAGGCGGCCUGCUGGACUGAAACUGACGUUGAGGCGCGAAAGCGUGGGGAGCAAACAGGAUUAGAUACCCGAGUAGUC
rnacentral:rRNA from 1 species